GUGGGGAAUUUUGGACAAUGUGCGAAAGCCUGAUCCAGCAAUGCCGCGUGUGUGAAGAAGGCCUUCGGGUUGUAAAGCACUUUUGUCCGGAAAGAAAUCCUUUGGGUUAAUACCUCGGAGGGAUGACGGUACCGGAAGAAUAAGGACCGGCUAACUACGUGCCAGCAGCCGCGGUAAUACGUAGGGUCCGAGCGUUAAUCGGAAUUACUGGGCGUAAAGCGUGCGCAGGCGGGUUUGUAAGACAGAUGUGAAAUCCCCGGGCUUAACCUGGGAAUUGCAUUUGUGACUGCAAGGCUAGAGUGUGUCAGAGGGGGGUAGAAGUCCACGUGUAGCAGUGAAAUGCGUAGAGAUGUGGAGGAAUACCGAUGGCGAAGGCAGCCCCCUGGGAUAACACUGACGCUCAUGCACGAAAGCGUGGGGAGCAAACAGGAUUAGAUACCCUGGUAGUCC
rnacentral:rRNA from 1 species